rnacentral:rRNA from 1 species
UACAGAGGUCUCAAGCGUUGUUCGGAUUCAUUGGGCGUAAAGGGUGCGUAGGCGGCGCGGUAAGUCGGGUGUGAAAUCUCGGAGCUUAACUCCGAAACUGCAUUCGAUACUGCCGUGCUUGAGGACUGGAGAGGAGACUGGAAUUUACGGUGUAGCGGUGAAAUGCGUAGAUAUCGUGAGGAAGACCAGUGGCGAAGGCGGGUCUCUGGACAGUUCCUGACACUGAGACACGAAGGCCAGGGGAGCAAACGGGG